GUGCCAGCAGCCGCGGUAAUACGUAGGGGGCAAGCGUUGUCCGGAAUUAUUGGGCGUAAAGCGCGCGCAGGCGGUCUUUUAAGUCUGAUGUGAAAUCUCGUGGCUUAACCGCGAGCGGCCAUUGGAAACUGGAGGACUUGAGUACAGAAGAGGGGAGUGGAAUUCCACGUGUAGCGGUGAAAUGCGUAGAUAUGUGGAGGAACACCAGUGGCGAAGGCGACUCUCUGGUCUGUAACUGACGCUGAGGCGCGAAAGCGUGGGGAGCGAACAGGAUUAGAAAC
rnacentral:rRNA from 1 species